UUUCCUUUCCUCUGGCGCUACGGCCACCUCAGCCCCAGCGCAGACGUUCCGGUCUCGGGGUGUUUGAAGCGCAACUGCGGCUGCGUACUCCACGGCCCGCCAUUGGAUUUUUUUCUGGGCUCUUUUUUUGCUCCCCAUAACUCCACUGAAAGCCUAUGUGCUCAGAAGCCUGACUGUCUGACACUGGAAAGACCACUGGACUUCAAUCCAGAAGCCCUGAGUGUAAAUCUUGGCCCUGCAACUUGCUACCUGAGUGAAAAGUCCCUUCUGCUUCCUGGACCUGCUUUCUCAGCAGUGAAACAGGAGGAUUGGCUCUUCCAGCUCUAAAUCUACAAGCCUCUAACCUCCCCAGUUUCCUCCUUUGUAAAAGAAGCAGGUUAGGCUGCCUUAAGGUCCCUCCUAGCUCUGAAUGGAUUCCGUUUUUUUUUUUUAAACGUUGUCAGAUCUUUAAUAAACAUAACAACCAUUUAGGGGAAAAGAGAGUGAAAAGUGACAUUACUAUUGGAAGUAUGUAUUAUCUAGUGGCAGCAGCAUGUCUGAUCAUCCUGGUUAUCAUAUGAAUGUUUGAUUAUCAUGUUUCAGGGCCUAAAUGUUAAGGGGGAAAAAAAGUAAGACAGUUCUUAUCCAUAAGGUUUCUAUUCUACCAUCCCAAAGAUGAUGAUCAUCUCUAGCUAUAAAGGUCCACUAUUUAAAUACCAUACACCUUUAUACAAAUGACUCAUAUUUUUGUAUCCAUCCUUAAAUAACAGAACCAACUACCUCAGCAACUGCCUGCUGGACUUCUCCAACUAGAUGUCCCAUAGGAAUCUUAAACUCAGUAUUUCAAAACAGAACCCAUCUUUUGCCUUAAUGUUCUAAUGAAUUUCUCUAUUUCUAUCAAAGGCACCACCAUCAUUCCUCUCACUUAGGUUCUCAAAGUCAGAGUUAUCCUCAAUUCUUCAUUCUCACAUCACAUAUUCAAUCAGCCGCCAAGUUUUGUCAAUGCUGUAUCAAUAAAAUUUCUUGUA